rnacentral:rRNA from 1 species
CCGCGGUAAUACGGAGGAUCCAAGCGUUAUCCGGAAUCAUUGGGUUUAAAGGGUCCGUAGGUGGACAAAUAAGUCAGAGGUGAAAUCCUGCAGCUCAACUGUAGAACUGCCUUUGAUACUGUUUGUCUUGAGUUAUUAUGAAGUGGUUAGAAUGUGUAGUGUAGCGGUGAAAUGCAUAGAUAUUACACGGAAUACCGAUUGCGAAGGCAGAUCACUAAUAAUCAACUGACACUGAUGGACGAAAGCGUGGGUAGCGAACAGG